UGUAGCCGCCAAAUGGCCUUGACCAUUCCUUCUGAACUAUACUAGCCGGGGCAAUAUGACGUUUCGUAUAAAUAUGGCUGACGAAAAGAAUCGGCCCUGCAUACAGAGUCACUUGCGAUUCCACUGCGCUUUGCUUCUCCAUCGGUCGUGAGUGGAAAUCUCGUCGUUGCAAUGAGGACUGUUAUUGCUUUGCUGGUUCUGCUGGUUGCUGUGUCCGCAGCUUACGCUGGCUACCUAGGCUAUGGAUUCCGUCCGUACGGCUAUGGUGGAUUUGGUGGCUAUGGCGGCUUUGGUGGACUCGGCUACCGUCGCUUCUAUGGAGGCUACGGCGGAUUUGGAGGCUAUGGAGGCUUCGGCAAAUAUGGUGGCUUCUACGGAUAGAUGUUCACACCGCCAUCGACGAGAAAAGUUUUCAUCAUUCACGACGAACAAACAAGAACAAUGACCAGAGAAUAAACUUGUGUACAAAAUACA